ensembl:lncRNA
UCCUUUCAGCAUGGCCGGAGGAGAGGGUUACGGGCAGUCGCGUGACACGCACGGAUCGAACAUGUAUCUCUGUGUUGCAGGUAUGGAGAUGUUUUUAUGUUUUGGAGAUGCAGUCUUUCAUUUAUUGUUCUUAUAAGUUGUUUUGAUGUUUUUUAGUGACAUAUUGUUUAUUUUGUGCUUUUUGUUUUUUGAGAGUUUAAGUCAAUGUUUUGAAAUAAUUUGUUGUAUUUGGUUCGUUACAUUAAUGUACAUUAAGGACACAGCUCCUUUCAGCAUGGCCGGAGGAGAGGGUUACGGGCAGUCGCGUGACACGCACGGAUCGAACAUGUAUCUCUGUGUUGCAGAUGUGCAGUAAAGAGCCAAAGAUUCGACACUGUCUCCUGCCUCUUGCUUCAACACCAAAACACAACGCAGAACAGCAGGCGUAACAAUUAGACGGGUUACACA